GCAAGUCGAACGAGAACGGGAUUGCUUGCAAUCCUUAGUAGAGUGGCGCACGGGUGAGUAACACGUAGAUAAUCUACCUUCAAGCCUGGAAUAACUAUUCGAAAGGAUAGCUAAUACCGGAUAAAGUUAGUUGACAUAGGUUGACUAUGAAAGAUUGCCUCUUCUUGAACGCAAUUGUUUGGAGAUGAGUCUGCGGACCAUUAGUUUGUUGGUGGGGUAAAGGCCUACCAAGACUGCGAUGGUUAGCUGGUCUGAGAGGAUGAUC
rnacentral:rRNA from 1 species